GCCUGAGUAGUUUAAGUUUAAGAUACUGAUUUGUGGUGUCAGUGAUGUAAUUGUUUUGCUUUGGGCU
rnacentral:tRNA from 1 species